rnacentral:tRNA from 1 species
GCCUGGGUGGCUCAGUCAGUGGAGCGUCUGACUUCAGCUCAGGCCAUGAUCUCACCACUCGUGGGUUCAAGCCCGCGUCGGGCU